GGGCCGUUAGCUCAAUGGAUAGAGCGGAGGAUUUCUAAUCCUUCAGAUGCGCGUUCGAAUCGCGCACGGCCUACCG
rnacentral:tRNA from 1 species